CCUGUCCGAGACAAAGCUACCUUUCUUUCCUCGUGGGAAUGGACCGGCCGGGCUUUGGCAAUCUGUCCCCUCAAAAGACAAAGUGACCUCUUGCAGCAGGGGAAGACUGAAGCAAGGGGUGCCAGGAAGAACUGGAGUCUCUGGAGAAUAAAAGCUUGAAGUAUGGCCCUGAAAGUUCCCAGCCCCGGGUGGUCAGUGGUCUGACUUGCACAGACCGGUGGCCUUGGCCAGGAGUGGUCCUGCGGGAAGCACCUUUGCCCAGGCUGUAAUUUUAAUUUCCACUGGGUGCUGGCAAAGCCCCCCUGGGGGUGAGCCCCAGUGCCUGGCAGGAGCGGAGCGGGCUUGCAGGGAGGUGUUCACCCGGUCAGCGUCAGGAACCAUCCUAACUGAGGCCUCGGCUGCCUCUUUCCCUUCGGUCGCCGUGGACACUGUGCUGGACACCUCUGGCAGGACUAACCCUGUGGCUUUUAUGUCCAACGUGCUGUAUGCCUGCAGCAUCCUGUCCGAGACAAAGCUACCUUUCUUUCCUCGUGGGAAUGGACCGGCCGGGCUUUGGCAAUCUGUCCCCUCGAAAGACAAAGUGACCUCUUGCAGCAGGGGAAGACUGAAGCAAGGGGUGCCAGGAAGAACUGGAGUCCCUGGAGAAUAAAAGCUGGAAGUAUGGCCCCGAAAGUCCCCAGCCCCGGGUGGUCAGUGGUCUGACUUGCACGGACCGGUGGCCUUGGCCAGGAGUGGUCCUGCGGGAAGCACCUUUGCCCAGGCUGUAAUUUUAAUUUCCACUGGGUGCUGGCAAAGCCCCCCUGGGGGUGAGCCCCAGUGCCUGGCAGGAGCGGAGCGGGCUUGCGGGGAGGUGUUCACCCGGUCAGCGUCAGGAACCAUCCUAACUGAGG